AUUGAACGCUGCGGCAGGCUUAACACAUGCAAGUCGAGCGCUCGGCGGACGGGUGAGUAAUGCUUAGGAAUCUGCCUAUUAGUGGGGGACAACAUCUCGAAAGGGAUGCUAAUACCGCAUACUAAUAGAAGAGCCUAAGUCGGAAUAGCUAGUUGGUGGGGUAAAGGCCUAGCAAGGCGACGAUCGGUAGCGGGUCUGAGAGGAUGAUCCGCCAGCCUGGGACUGAGACACGUCCCAGACUCCUUCGGUAGGCCGCAGUGGGGAAUAUUGGACAAUGGGGGGAACCCUGAUCCAGCUAUGCCGCGUGUGUGAAGAAGUCCUUAUGGUUGUAAAGCACUGUAAGCUAGGAGGCGUUACUCGCAGAAUAAGCACCGGCUAACUCUGUGCCAGCAGCCGCGGUAAUUC
rnacentral:rRNA from 1 species